rnacentral:rRNA from 1 species
AAUAGAUACCCGGGUAGUCCAUGCCGUAAACGUUGGGCACUAGGUGUGGGGCUCAUUCCACGAGUUCCGUGCCGCAGCAAACGCAUUAAGUGCCCCGCCUGGGGAGUACGGCCGCAAGGCUAAAACUCAAAGGAAUUGACGGGGGCCCGCACAAGCGGCGGAGCAUGCGGAUUAAUUCGAUGCAACGCGAAGAACCUUACCAAGGCUUGACAUGCACGGGAAGCCACCAGAGAUGGUGGUCUCUUUGGACACUCGUGCACAGGUGGUGCAUGGUUGUCGUCAGCUCGUGUCGUGAGAUGUUGGGUUAAGUCCCGCAACGAGCGCAACCCUCGUCCCAUGUUGCCAGCGGGUUAUGCCGGGGACUCAUGGGAGACUGCCGGGGUCAACUCGGAGGAAGGUGGGGAUGACGUCAAAUCAUCAUGCCCCUUAUGUCUUGGGCUUCACGCAUGCUACAAUGGCCGGUACAAAGGGCUGCGAUACCGUAAGGUGGAGCGAAUCCCAAAAAGCCGGUCUCAGUUCGGAUUGGGUCUG